rnacentral:lncRNA from 1 species
AUGAAAAACAAAAACAAGUUGAGGUUGAAGGCGAAAAGAUUGAGAAAUUGACGGAUUUGCCUUCCAAGAAAUCUAAAGUUGAAGAUAAGUCAGCACCCAAUGAAAAACAAAAACAGGUUGAGGUUGAAGGUGAAAAGAUUGAGAAAUUGACGGAUUUGCCCUCCAAGAAAUCAAAAGAUGAAGUUAAGUCACCUCGCAAUGAAAAACCAAAACAGGUUGAGGUCGAAGGUGAAAAGAUUGAGAAAUUGACGGAUUUGCCCUCCAAGAAAUCAAAAGAUGAAGUUAAGUCACCUCGCAAUGAAAAACCAAAACAGGUUGAGGUCGAAGGUGAAAAGAUUGAGAAAUUGACGGAUUUGCCCUCCAAGAAAUCAAAAGAUGAAGUUAAGUCACCUCGCAAUGAAAAACCAAAACAGGUUGAGGUCGAAGGUGAAAAGAUUGAGAAAUUGACGGAUUUGCCCUCCAAGAAAUCAAAAGAUGAAGUUAAGUCACCUCGCAAUGAAAAACAAAAACAGGUUGAGGUUGUAGGUGAAAAGAUUGAGAAAUCGACGGGUUUGCCCUCCAAGAAAUCAAAAGAUGAAGUUAAGUCAGCUCGCAAUGUGAAUAAUUUGGGAACAUCAGGCACACAAGAAGAAAAAGCAA